rnacentral:rRNA from 1 species
UACGGGGGGAGCAAGCGUUGUCCGGAUUUACUGGGCGUAAAGAGCGCGCAGGCGGUCGAUCAAGUCGAGUGUGAAAGCCCCCGGCUCAACUGGGGAGGGUCAUUCGAUACUGAUCGACUCGAAGGCAGGAGAGGGUAGUGGAAUUCCCGGUGUAGUGGUGAAAUGCGUAGAUAUCGGGAAGAACACCAGUGGCGAAGGCGACUACCUGGCCUGUUCUUGACGCUGAGGCGCGAAAGCUAGGGGAGCAAACGGG